rnacentral:pre_miRNA from 1 species
CAAAUACUCCCUCCGUCCGAAAUUACUUGUCACAAAAAUGAAUAAUAAUGGAUGUAUCUAGAAAUAAAAUACAUCUAGAUACAUUCAUUCCUUCGACAAGUAUUUCCGGACGGAGGGAGUAUAUG